UUUGGCAAUGAUGACCCACUUGCCCUCACUGAGAACAGAGUUUGAUAAUGAGAAUCUUUAUUUAUUUAUUUUUUUUAAA